GCUUACGGCGGGCGUGUCGGGCAGGCUCGCGCCUGACCGGGUACAGAACGAAUGGACCGGUCUUCCACCCCGACACGUCCGCCACCUGC
rnacentral:antisense_RNA from 1 species